rnacentral:rRNA from 1 species
UACGUAGGGCGCAAGCGUUGUCCGGAAUUAUUGGGCGUAAAGAGCUCGUAGGCGGUUUGUCGCGUCUGCUGUGAAAACCUAAGGCUCAACCUUGGGCUUGCAGUGGGUACGGGCAGACUAGAGUGCGGUAGGGGUGACUGGAAUUCCUGGUGUAGCGGUGGAAUGCGCGAGAUAUCGCAGGAGGAACACCGAGUGGCGAAGGCAGGUCACUGG